rnacentral:rRNA from 1 species
UACGGGGGGGGCAAGCGUUGUUCGGAAUUACUGGGCGUAAAGGGCUCGUAGGCGGCCAACUAAGUCGGAUGUGAAAUCCCUCGGCUCAACUGAGGAAGUGCAUCCGAAACUGGCAGGCUUGAGUACUAAAGAGGGUCGCGGAAUUCCCGGUGUAGAGGUGAAAUUCGUAGAUAUCGGGAGGAACACCGGUGGCGAAGGCGGCGACCUGGGUAGAUACUGACGCUGAGGUGCGAAAGCGUGGGGAGCAAACAGG